rnacentral:rRNA from 1 species
UGGGGAAUAUUGCACAAUGGGCGCAAGCCUGAUGCAGCAACGCCGCGUGAGGGACGACGGCCUUCGGGUUGUAAACCUCUUUUAGUAGGGAAGAAGCGAAAGUGACGGUACCUGCAGAAAAAGCACCGGCUAACUACGUGCCAGCAGCCGCGGUAAUACGUAGGGUGCGAGCGUUGUCCGGAAUUAUUGGGCGUAAAGAGCUCGUAGGCGGUCUGUCGCGUCUGCUGUGAAAACCCGAGGCUCAACCUCGGGCCUGCAGUGGGUACGGGCAGACCAGAGUGCGGUAGGGGAGAAUGGAAUUCCUGGUGUAGCGGUGGAAUGCGCAGAUAUCAGGAGGAACACCGAUGGCGAAGGCAGUUCUCUGGGCCGUAACUGACGCUGAGGAGCGAAAGCGUGGGGAGCGAACAGGAUUAGAUACCCUGGUAGUCCACGCCGUAAACGUUGGGCGCUAGAUGUGGGGACCAUUCCACGGUUUCCGUGUCGCAGCUAACGCAUUAAGCGCCCCGCCUGGGGAGUACGGCCGCAAGGCUAAAACUCAAAUGAAUUGACGGGGUCAUAGCUGUUUCCU